UACAGUCAUAUCACAUUGAAACAGCAAUUCCCGUACGAUCACCGAAGUUAAGCAACGUCGAGCCAGCCCAGUACUUCGAUGGGUGAUCGCUUGGUAAUACCAGAUGUCAU